rnacentral:rRNA from 1 species
AACGAACGCUGGCGGCAUGCCUAACACAUGCAAGUCGAACGAAGCCUUCGGGCUUAGUGGCGCACGGGUGCGUAACGCGUGGGAAUCUGCCCUUGGGUUCGAAUAACAGUUAGAAAUGACUGCUAAUACCGAAUGAUGUCUUCGGACCAAAGAUUUAUCGCCCAAGGAUGAGCCCGCGUCGGAUUAGCUAGUUGGUGAGGUAAAGGCUCACCAAGGCGACGAUCCGUAGCUGGUCUGAGAGGAUGAUCAGCCACACUGGGACUGAGACACGGCCCAGACUCCUACGGGAGGCAGCAGUGGGGAAUAUUGGACAAUGGGCGAAAGCCUGAUCCAGCAAUGCCGCGUGAGUGAUGAAGGCCUUAGGGUUGUAAAAGCUCUUUUUACCCGGGAUGAUAAUGACAGUACCGGGAGAAUAAGCCCGGCUAACUCCGUGCCAGCAGCCGCGGUAAU